rnacentral:rRNA from 1 species
AACGAACGCUGGCGGCAUGCCUAACACAUGCAAGUCGAACGAGACCUCCGGGUCUAUUUGCGCACGGCGGCUUAACGCGUGGGAAGCUGCACUUAGGUUCGGAAUAACUCCCCGAAAGGGGUGCUAAUACCGGAUAAUGUCUUCGGACCAAAGAUUUAUUGCCGUUUGUUGGGCCCGCGUUGGAUUAGCUAGUUGGUAGGGUAAUAGCAUACCAACGCGACGAUGCAUAGCUGGUCUGAGAGGAUGCUCAGCCACACUGGGACUGAGACACGGCCCAGACUCGUACGCGAGGGAGCAGAAGGUAAUAUUGGAGAAUGGGGCAAAGCGUGAUCCAGCAAUGCCGGGUGAGUGAUGAAGGCCUUAGGGUUGUAAAGCUGUUUUAGCCGAGAUGAUAGUGACGGUACCGGGAGAAGAAGCUCCGGCUAACUACGUG